GAAGUCCUGUUUCAUUCGUGUCUUCAGCAGAACUAUCACGGUUGCCUCAAUGUCCUGAAUAAUUCAAAAUGUUUACCUUUUGAUGGUCAUUUUGACUUCGGAGAAGAGCCAGCAAUCAAGAGGUGCCAGAUCCAUUGAGCAAGACAUUCACAAAAUAGGACUUCCAGAACUGCUUCAGAAAGUGGCAAGAGGCCCGGCAUGGUGGUGCACGCCCAUAAUCCCCGCACUCAGGAGGCUGAGGCAAGAAGAUCACCACGAGUUCAAGGCCAGACUGCACUACAUAGCAAAACCCUGUCUCAAAAAAAGAAAGUGGCCAGAAAAAAGGAGUAAAUUUGUUCAAAGCAUGUGGUAAUAUUUUAAGAGGGAUUAAUGGCAAUGUGUCUUUUACUGUGAUACAUUUUUAAAAUUUAAACACACUAUAUAUUUUGAUUAGCCCUUGUACGUGUUAAGCAUUUAAAUAAUAUAUUUUUAAAAGUGAUGUUCCAACUUGAAUUUUCCAGGACUUGUAGAAUUCAUUCAAUUCAAAUAGACAGUUUUUGUAAGUGACCAUAGAGAAGGAAGAUGGAUGACAGUUUUGUGAAUGAAAAGGCGCAUGUGUUUCUCAUAACUUGGAGGGGAAAACAUUCAAUAGGCAUGAGGCUGGAUUCCUUUUUCUGUUACAGAAUUUAUUAGGCUGAGAAAUGGGGGGAGAGAAGAGAUCUCCACAGAACCCCAAAUAUCUGACAUAGUUAAAUUAUCUUUAUUAGAGUCUUAGGAAGCUGAAGAUUUAUCUGGGCUCCCGCUCCAUGCUAAAGGAAAUUGUCAUUUUCUCACAGUCGAUUUUAGUGUGAGGUAUUGCAGACUAACAGCUGUAGUAUAAACUCAUCCUGUGCUGCUGGUGGACUGACCAUAUCUAGUGUCAUAGCAGGACUCUUUGCACUGCUGGGGAAUGAAUCACAAGUCAUUUCGUAAGGCAAAAUAAAGCCUUAUUUGAAAUCUAGCCAUCGUGAUAAAACUAGGCUAAAAUUAAUUUGAUUUGAGCCAUUUUACCUUUAAAGUAACCUGGGUUAAAAGAAUCUCAGCAGAUUAAAAAGGAGAGGGAGAGGAAUAAAUUUAUUACCGGAAAGGUUACGUGAAAUCGAAUCUCUGCACUGCUGUGGCAGAAAAGUACAGCCUCUGUGGUUCAGUACUGCCAUCCUUAAAGGCUAAAGGUCUUCCCUUGAGCUGUCUAGAUCCACUCUACUGUGCCACAGGGUCAGUCCGUCAGAAGUAAUAAUCCAAAGACGGGCUGCUGGUUAUGUUGUAGCUCCAGCUUGCCUCUCAUGAUGAUUUCCCCCAUGUGACCCUCCUAAGAUGAAAAGGAAGCACUUUGGCCCCUGUACUUCCUGUGUGAAUCUCCAUGUGCUAAUCAUUCUUAUUUUAUACUCCCUGAGUCCUACCCCAAGUACUGCAGGCAUUAUAAACCCUCAAAAUCCCAACUCUUAAUAGUCACAGAGUGAGAUUUCAGCAACAUUUAAGCAAAAGACUGAGAAACUAAUGUCAUCGUGUUUUGAUAGUGUAAGGAAUUUCACAAGAUGUCCUACUUUAAAUUUCUCAUCUUUUGGAAUUAAUUAGAAUCUAUUAGAUGUAGUUCUGCUAAAAUUCUAGUUUUUAUUAUUUUUA
ensembl:lincRNA